rnacentral:rRNA from 1 species
UACGUAGGGUGCGAGCGUUGUCCGGAAUUAUUGGGCGUAAAGGGCUCGUAGGCGGUUUGUCGCGUCGGGAGUGAAAUCCACUGGCUUAACUGGUGGCUUGCUUUCGAUACGGGCAGACUGGAGGUAUGCAGGGGAGAACGGAAUUCCUGGUGUAGCGGUGGAAUGCGCAGAUAUCAGGAGGAACACCGGUGGCGAAGGCGGGUCUCUGGUACGUGACUGACACUGAGACGCGAAAGCGUGGGGAGCGAACAGG